GUAGUCAUAUGCUUGUCUCAACGAUUAAGCCAUGCAUGUCUAAGUAUAAGCAUUUAUACGGCGAGACUGCGAAUGGCUCAUUAUAUAAGUUGUCGUUUAUUUGAUAACUCAUCACUACACGGAUAACUGUGGUAAUUCUAGAGCUAAUACGUGCUGAAAAUCCCAACUCACGAAGGGAUGUACUUAUUAGAUUAAAAGCCAAUGCCCUUCGGGGCUCACUGGUGAUUCAUGAUAAUUUCUCGGAUCGCAUGGCCUUGUGCCGGCGAUGGUUCAUUCAAACUUCUUCCCUAUCAACUUUCGAUGCGAAGGUCUUGUCUUCGCAUGGUUGCAACGGGUAACGGGGAAU
rnacentral:rRNA from 1 species